rnacentral:rRNA from 1 species
AACGAACGCUGGCGGCAGGCUUAACACAUGCAAGUCGAACGCCCCGCAAGGGGAGUGGCAGACGGGUGAGUAACGCGUGGGAACAUACCCUUUUCUACGGAAUAGCUCUGGGAAACUGGAAUUAAUACCGUAUACGCCCUACGGGGGAAAGAUUUAUCGGGGAAGGAUUGGCCCGCGUUGGAUUAGCUAGUUGGUGGGGUAAAGGCCUACCAAGGCGACGAUCCAUAGCUGGUCUGAGAGGAUGAUCAGCCACAUUGGGACUGAGACACGGCCCAAACUCCUACGGGAGGCAGCAGUGGGGAAUAUUGGACAAUGGACGCAAGCCUGAUCCAGCCAUGCCGCGUGAGUGAUGAAGGCCUUAGGGUUGUAAAGCUCUUUCACCGAUGAAGAUAAUGACGGUAGUCGGAGAAGAAGCCCCGGCUAACUUCGUG